rnacentral:rRNA from 2 species
AAUACGACUCUCGGCAACGGAUAUCUCGGCUCUCGCAUCGAUGAAGAACGUAGCGAAAUGCGAUACUUGGUGUGAAUUGCAGAAUCCCGUGAACCAUCGAGUCUUUGAACGCAAGUUGCGCCCCAAGCCUAAGAAAUUAGGCCGAGGGCACGUCUGCCUGGGUGUCACAC